rnacentral:lncRNA from 1 species
GGGAGGUGGAGGAAGCUCUCUCUCUAGCUGUCACUUUCCUGUGAUGGGAUAACUGGAGGCGGUAACAGCCUAACCUCCCUCCCCAGUGCCCCACCAGAAUCAAAACGCCCAAGGAGCGUGGACUCCCCAUCAUAGCUGUGGCACCCAUGCUGAGGAGGAAAGAGAUACUGACACAAGUUAUUUAAAAGAAGAAAAGCAAUUCCAUUUCCAUCGUCGGUUUUAUUUUAGAAAUAUUGUUAUAAUAUUUAUUUGUUAUUUGUGCCUUUUUAGAAUCUCUGAUUUCCUUCUAAUUAGAUAACCCCCUUCUCUUGUGAAUAACACAUUCAGUGCGGUUAAAAGAUCUUGGCUCAAAGAAUAUACAUGGGCUGUUGGGGAUGGAUGCCCAAUCCAGAGUGAACCAAUCAGGGGUUUCCUGGGACUUUGGCAAAAAUAAGAUGUGUCAGGAGAGACUUUCUAUGAGGCUUCUAGGCUGAGUCAGUAUGUGUGCCUGGAGUCUCCAAAUGCCAUCUGGCCCACCACAUGGAGAAAGCCAGCCUAAAACAUACAAGGAAAAAGCUGAUGAAACUGUUGGCACCCUUGGAUCUCUAGACAUUCUGGUUCUGUAAGCCAAUACAUUUCCCUUUUUGCUGAAGUAGGUGAGUAGGAAACAGUUGGGUUGAAAUACAGUGACCAUGGUGACCUCAUUGAGACGGUGUGACGUGGCAAAGAUACAUUGGAUGAGAAGUAAUAAGAUAGCCCUGGUGAUGACCUUUGGCUCAUGACCCUCCUUAACCUUCCUAAGUCUCAAUCUCCUUUAUCCGUGAUGUGCUAAUAUUAGAUCACAUAAACCCGAGGCCCUAUUUCAUUUUCAGUUGUUACCCCAAGCUCCAUGCUUUAACUCUGUGAACUCUUCUCUCUCACCCAGAAGUCGUAGGAAGUGGUGAUACAUACACACUGUUUAUAAGUACAUCUAGCUAAUGCCAGGCGUUUAUUUCUAGAUGAAGAUCACAUUUUUCUCUUCCAAGGACUCAUUCCACUUCUGUCCCAAGCAGCUCCCAGUGUUGUUGGACAAACACGGGGCCUGUGCAACAAUGCAUAUCUAGCUCUGAGAAAACUUAUCCCUUCCAUCUGGAGAGUCAACCUGAGUAUUAGCAUUUUAUGGAGAGAAAAUCAUGUGCAAAGGCCUCUGUGUGAGGUCUCUAACUUAAUGUCUUUAUUUUUCCUUUAUACUCCAAUAAUACCUAUUCCAGUCAAUGAUUUCUACACAAAGGCAUAGCAAAUUUCUAAUUCUUUCAAAAAGGGGAUUCAUAUCUUUUGCACUCAAACACAGGCAUGUGUAUGCCAAUCAACUGAGACUAGAAAUUCUACUCUGAAAGAUCAGCUCUAUCAUAAUCCUCCUGAAUGUUCUGUACUAUUUGUCAUUUACCUCCUGAAACAAGUCGAAAAUAUGGAGAUUGGUAUGUCUUAGGAUUUCAGUGUGUGCAAAUUAUUAAAAUUGUAAAAUUUUAGAAAAAUCUGAGAUUCAUCCUACUGACAUUCUAAUAUGUGGCAGGCUGCUGAGGAAGAAUCCCAGUUCUCUGAGUGUUCAAAAAUCAAUAUUUUUAAAAAUUUUAUAUUAUUUUUAAUUGUAUUGAAGUAUAAUUGAUUUAAAAUACUGUAUUAAUUUCUCCUAUUCAGCAAAGUAAUUCAGUGGUACAUAUACUUGUUUCUAUUCUUUUCCAUUAUGGUUUAUCACAGGAUAUUAAGUAUAGUUCCCUGGGACUUUGUCAUUUAUUCUAUAUAUAAUAGUUAAUAUCUGCUCAUCCCAAACUCCAGAACAAUCCCUCCUCCACCAGCCCUUCCCCUUGACAACCACAGGUCUGUUCUUUAUGUCUGUAAGUCUGUUUUGUAGAUAGGUUCAUUUUGUCAUAUUUUAGAUUCCACGUAUAAGUGAUAUCAUAUGGUAUUUGUCUUUCUGAUUUACUUCACUCAGUAUGACAAUCUCUAUGUCUAUCCAUGUUGCUGCAAAUGGCAUUAUUUCAUUCUUUUCUAUGGCUGAUUAGUAUUCUACUCUAUAUAUGUACCAUAUGCAUUCAUUUGUCAGUGGACACUUAGGUUGUUUCUGUGACUCGACUAUUGUUAAUAGUGCUGCAGUGAACAUUGGGGUGGGUGCAUGUGUCAUACUGAAUUAUAGUUUUGUUCAGGUAUAUGUCCAGGAGUAGGAUUGCUGGUUUUUAUGGUAGUUCUAUUUUUAGUUUUCUGAGGAACCAAUUUAUACUCCCACCAACAGGGUAGGAGAAAGUUUCCUUUUCUCCAUACCCUCUCCAGCAUUUAUUUGUAGACUUUUUAGUGAUGGCCAUUCUGAUCUAUGUGAGGUGAUAGCUUAUUGGGGUUUUGAUUUGCAUCAAAAAUGAAGAUUAAACCUCACACUAAAACCAAGAACUUACUUGAAAUUAGAAGAUGCCAUUAUUACUUAUUGGAUAUGGACAAAAUAAAACCAGUGCUAUAGAUGGGCAAGUGAGUUCUCCUACUCAGCUCCUAUUACACCUACUUGUCAUCAGUUGACUUUACUGCCAGUGUAUUUAGAUAUUAACAUGCGGAUUUCACUGAGUGUGAAUAGCUACCAUUUGUAAGCUCUGCAGAUGAUUACAUAUCCAGCUAUAUAUAACUCUUAUAAGAUCCUAGACAUACACAGAGAUAUUUAUGUGACUUGCAAGCAAUUUUUUAUUAUUAUUAGCCUAGACUUGUGCCUCCUUAGCAAUUCAUUUUCUGGGAACUUCUAGUUAAUUUGCCAUGCAAGCAGAGAGAAUUUGAAAGCCUUAUUAAUAGCCAUGUCAGAAAGUCUGACUAUCCCUAAAAGUUGCAACUUCAAACUUCCAAAAUUCUCUCCUAAAUCUGAUUGGUGAUAUACUAAGAUUAAAUAUGCUUGCACAAUUUCACACAAUUUGUCUUUUCCCAUUAAUACUUAAUAAGAGACCUUCUGUUCCUACUUAGAGCAACGAACCACAAAGUCAAAUCUAUUGUGUAUGUGAUGAGGCAGUGGAAGGAGCAUUGGGCUAGGAUGUUGCUUACCUCCAUCACUUCUUUGUUCUUGGACUAGCAGGUUGACCUCCUAACUGUUCUGGCUCUUGCAUUGCCCCUUAAUGAUUCAUUCUAAAUAAUAUUCAAUAUGCUUUUAAAAUAGACAGGUGCCCCAUAUCACUAUCCCAAUUAAAAAUCUCCAUUGGCUGCAUAGGAUUAAUAAUCAUAUCAAUAAUAUUAACAAUUGUAGGAGCCAGCACUUACUGGAUUUACUCUGUGCUGGGCACUAUGUGAUGUACUUUACAUAAUCUUUUUUUUUAAUCUUCACAAUAACUCUUUGAAAGUUUAUGGUUGUGGAAAUUGAGGCCCAAAGAGAUUGGGCUAGUAUGCGAUGGAAAUAAGACUCAAACUCACAACUCUCUCACUGAAGUCCAUACUCUCAGCCAUGAUACUAUUCUGCCCCUUUUUCCUAGUGAAACACAGACUCCUUGGCCAGGCUUUCACAAAAUGGAAAAUUUUGUUUCCAUAAACCUCUUGCUACCCUUUAAUAUACUCCCUUUUUUCCACCUCAGUUUUCUUUUUUUUUUUAAGUCAUCUUUCAUCUUUCAGUUCUUUGGUUUCCCAUUUCUCUCAAGUUUUCCACUUUUGCUCUUUCUUCUCAUCUUUAUGUAUUCUAUCUAUUCUUGGCAUCCUCAGUCAUGGGUCCUUAGCCCUGACUUCCAUAAACUCAAUAAUGCAGCCAUCAAAUAUGGGGUGAGGGAUCCGUUCCAUAAUAGAAGUAGCUGAAAAAGGUGGAAGCGACCCUAUUCUGGUACCUAAUGCAUGAAAAAAGUAUUGGUAAAGAAUCAAAGUCCUAUGACUUCAUUAUUAAAUCUCAUAUCUUCAGGGGUGAAUAAUAUUAUUCUAUCAUGUAAAUUAUAAGCUGCCUGAGCAUAAAACAAAGCCCUCUGUUUCCUUUGUAUCACUGUCCCUUAGGAAGCCCACUUAAAGUUUUAUAUUAUACCUAAGGAAUGUCUUUGCAACAUGUAUGUAUUAAGUAAUGCAAAUAUGUAUAUUUCUAUGUGUACUU